rnacentral:rRNA from 1 species
CGAGGGUGCAAGCGUUAAUCGAAAUUACUGGGCGUAAAGCGCACGUAGGUGAAUGCUUAAGUCAGAUGUGAAAGCCCUGGGCUCAACCUGGGAACUGCAUCUGAUACUGGGCGUAUAGAGUAUGGUAGAGGGAAGUGGAAUUUCCGGUGUAGCGGUGAAAUGCGUAGAUAUCGGGAGGAACACCAGUGGCGAAGGCGGCUUUCUGGUCUAUUUCUGACGCUGAGGAGCGAAAGCUAGGGGAGCAAACGGGAUUAGAUACCCGCGUAGUCC